rnacentral:rRNA from 1 species
CCUACGGGUGGCUGCAGUGGGGAAUAUUGGACAAUGGGCGAAAGCCUGAUCCAGCCAUGCCGCGUGUGUGAAGAAGGCCUUCGGGUUGUAAAGCACUUUCAGUGGGGAAGAAAGCCUUGGGGCUAAUACCCUCGAGGAAGGACAUCACCCACAGAAGAAGCACCGGCUAACUCCGUGCCAGCAGCCGCGGUAAUACGGAGGGUGCGAGCGUUAAUCGGAAUUACUGGGCGUAAAGCGCGCGUAGGCGGUCUGAUAAGCCGGUUGUGAAAGCCCCGGGCUCAACCUGGGAACGGCAUCCGGAACUGUCAGGCUAGAGUGCAGGAGAGGAAGGUAGAAUUCCCGGUGUAGCGGUGAAAUGCGUAGAGAUCGGGAGGAAUACCAGUGGCGAAGGCGGCCUUCUGAACUGACACUGACGCUGAGGUGCGAAAGCGUGGGUAGCAAACAGGAUUAGAUACCCGGGUAGUC